AUGAAAGAUUUGCUUUUUUUUUUUUUAACACAAAUGGCGGGUUUCUUUAUAGGCUAGCCAGCCGAUUGAGUUUUCUCUUUCCCCUCCCGUCUCAAAACCCUAAUCAUCACCGCGAGAAGAUCCUUCUUCUCCUUUACUGUUUCAAAUCUUCUGAACUCUUAUUUGUUCUCUGCUAUUAUUUCGCUUACUUCUUAUGCUAAUGGAAAUCUCUACUUCCUCUAACCCUAAUUUGGCUAAGUCUAAAAAACUCAAGGAAACAGUUGCAACUCUCCAAAAUUUACGCUACCAUUGUGAGAAAUUCGGACAGGGUAGAGCUUUCUUCAAUCCCAAUCUCAUAUAUCAACUUGACUAUGAAAUAAACCCAAAUCAAACAUGGCAAGUCGGCGAUUUUUUCACACCUCUAGAUGUCCAACUAUCUGGGGCUCCUUUACAAUAUGCAUUGGUUGCAAAAUUUCCCAAAGGGAGGAGGCCACAAAUGAGUUCAAUCUGAAAUCAUAUCAUGAGCAAAUGGAGCCUCUUGCAUCCUCCUAUUGUUGGCUUGAUUGAUUCUCGACACAUAUUGAUAAAGCUUCAAUCUGAAAAUGAUCUAGCAAAGGCCUGAACAAGAGAUACGCACUCAAUGGAGGGGCCAUGUUCAUAUUAUUUAAAUGAUCAAGGGAUUUCAGCCCCAUGGAAGAAUCACCUAUUGCUCAUGUACGACAGGUACACCACCACAAGGUGCACUACCCGAUGCACUAUUCAUCCCUUGGACAGCAGUUGCAGGCUACAUGUAGCUUCUUAGUGAAGUUUGUGAGAACAUUAAUAGUUAACGAACCAAGAUCGAACGAGGAUAAUCAAGUUUUAUUCGAGGUAUCCUUGUUCAAACCAAUUUCGAACGAGCAAACAUGUUAAUUGAAAUCGAAUACCCGUCUUCAAAUUUAACUCGACUCCAUCUAUCACGCAACCAAUUUAUUUGCGUCGUCUACGAAUAACAGUCAGUCCACUCUCUCUCUUUCUGUAUUUUUUUUUUUAAUCCAAAAAAGCUUUCCACACGACAGAGAUUCUGUAGUCCGGCCGUUCUCUGUUCUCCUUUGCUCC